GAAAUGCGAUAAGUAAUGUGAAUUGCAGAAUUCAGUGAAUCAUCGAAUCUUUGAACGCACAUUGCGCCCGCCAGUAUUCUGGCGGGCAUGCCUGUUCGAGCGUCAUUUCAACCAUCAAGCCCCCGGCUUGUGUUGGGGACCUGCGGCUGUCCGCAGGCCCUGAAAAACAGUGGCGGGCUCGCUGUCACACCGAGCGUAGUAGCAUACAUUCUCGCUCAGGGCGUGCUGCGGGUUCCGGCCGUUAAACGACCUUCAUAACCCAAGGUUGACCUCGGAUCAGGUAGGAAGACCCGCUGAACUUAAGC
rnacentral:misc_RNA from 1 species